rnacentral:rRNA from 1 species
GAUUAACGCUGGCGGCGUGCAUAACACAUGCAAGUCGAACGAUGAAACUUAACUGAUUUCUUCGGAAUGAUUUUAAGUGGAUUAGUGGCGGACGGGUGAGUAACGCGUGAGUAACCUGCCUUGGAGAAGGGGAUAGCCUUUGGAAACGAAGAAUAAUACCCUAUGAUAUGAUAAUAUCUCAUGAUAUUAUCAUCAAAGAUUUAUCGCUCUAAGAUGGACUUGCGUCUGAUUAGUUAGUUGGUGAGGUAACAGCUCACCAAGGCAGCGAUCAGUAGCCGGCUUGAGAGAGUGUACGGCCACAUUGGGACUGAGACACGGCCCAGACUCCUACGGGAGGCAGCAGUGGGGAAUUUUGCACAAUGGGGGAAACCCUGAUGCAGCGACGCCGCGUGAUUUAGAAGGCCUUCGGGUUGUAAAAAUCUUUUGGAUGGGAAGAAAAUGACAGUACCAUACGAAUAAGGACCGGCUAAUUACGU